AUGCACGCUGGCGGCGUGCCUAAUACAUGCAAGUCGAGCGAACGGACGAGAAGCUUGCUUCUCUGAUGUUAGCGGCGGACGGGUGAGUAACACGUGGAUAACCUACCUAUAAGACUGGGAUAACUUCGGGAAACCGGAGCUAAUACCGGAUAAUAUUUUGAACCGCAUGGUUCAAAAGUGAAAGACGGUCUUGCUGUCACUUAUAGAUGGAUCCGCGCUGCAUUAGCUAGUUGGUAAGGUAACGGCUUACCAAGGCAACGAUGCAUAGCCGACCUGAGAGGGUGAUCGGCCACACUGGAACUGAGACACGGUCCAGACUCCUACGGGAGGCAGCAGUAGGGAAUCUUCCGCAAUGGGCGAAAGCCUGACGGAGCAACGCCGCGUGAGUGAUGAAGGUCUUCGGAUCGUAAAACUCUGUUAUUAGGGAAGAACAUAUGUGUAAGUAACUGUGCACAUCUUGACGGUACCUAAUCAGAAAGCCACGGCUAACCACGUG
rnacentral:rRNA from 1 species